rnacentral:rRNA from 1 species
UACAGAGGUCCCGAGCGUUGUUCGGAUUCAUUGGGCGUAAAGGGUGCGUAGGCGGCGGGGUAAGUUUGAUGCGAAAUCCCGGGGCUCAACCCUGGAAUUGCAUUGAAUACUACCUUGCUAGAGUACCGGAGAGGAAACUGGAAUUUACGGUGUAGCAGUGAAAUGCGUAGAGAUCGUAAGGAAGACCAGUGGCGAAGGCGAGUUUCUGGACGGUAACUGACGCUGAGGCACGAAGGCCAGGGGAGCAAACGGG